GGAUGAACGCUGGCGGCGUGCCUAAUACAUGCAAGUCGAGCGAACAGACGAGGAGCUUGCUCCUCUGACGUUAGCGGCGGACGGGUGAGUAACACGUGGAUAACCUACCUAUAAGACUGGGAUAACUUCGGGAAACCGGAGCUGAUACCGGAUAAUAUAUUGAACCGCAUGGUUCAAUAGUGAAAGACGGUUUUGCUGUCACUUAUAGAUGGAUCCGCGCCGCAUUAGCUAGUUGGUAAGGUAACGGCUUACCAAGGCAACGAUGCGUAGCCGACCUGAGAGGGUGAUCGGCCACACUGGAACUGAGACACGGUCCAGACUCCUACGGGAGGCAGCAGUAGGGAAUCUUCCGCAAUGGGCGAAAGCCUGACGGAGCAACGCCGCGUGAGUGAUGAAGGUCUUCGGAUCGUAAAACUCUGUUAUUAGGGAAGAACAAAUGUGUAAGUAACUAUGCACGUCUUGACGGUACCUAAUCAGAAAGCCACGGCUAACUACGUG
rnacentral:rRNA from 1 species